ACGAAUCGUCUUUUAGUCAUCUCACUCUUCUCCAACAGCGGUCUCUGGUUGUUAUGGGGCGAAUGGUUGAAUUUGCCAAAUACUUGGCAAAUUUUGCUGCUGCAAGUGGAAAGAAGCAUGUUGUUCUGCUUUCUAGCUUGGAUUUUGGAAAGUGGCAAAAAAUUGACAUGUCAAGUGGUCUGCAGAUACA